rnacentral:lncRNA from 1 species
GCCUCAGCUUCAGAUUCGGCCUCAGUCAGCCGCGCAGGGACGCGGAGCCCGGCGCCGAGCUCUGCGCUUGCGCUUGCCGGGCGGGCAUGGACGGGCGAGAGGCGUUCUGCAAGCGCGAAAUCGGUGAGCCCGGCCGCCGCGCCGCCGCCCCGCGAGCCUUUCCGAGUCCCGGAGAAUCCUGCACGCGAGAUCCCAGGGCGCCCGACCCAUGCGGGCCGUUUCGCUGUUGCUAAAAACCAACGCCCAGGGACUGGGAGAGGAACUGGGGUUCCCAAACUGUUUUUUGGAAGCAGCGAUGAACGGGAUAGUGCAUGACGUGGACGUGCUGGGCGCGGGCAUCUGGCUGGUGACCCUGCUGGUGGAUCGGGACGGGCUGUACAAGAUGAACCGCCUGUACCUCACUCACCCCCGACGUCUUCUUCUUCCGAGUCCACAUGUUAGUCCUGGACUCCUCCAGCUGCAAUAAACCGUGUCCAGAGUUUAAACCUGGUAUUGAAACUGAGCUGAAUGACGCUGCAUAUGUACUUUAUACCACCGUUUGUAACGUGGGUGCCACAGCCCGGGCUGUGGGUCGUCCAGUCUUUUUUUGGGACGGAUGGGGGACAGUAUUGUAACAUGAUUAGGAUUUAGACGACAGGUAUUAUUUCCGCCACUGUGAUUUAAGCACCGUCAGCCCCACCCCCACGGGUGAGAACGGCAGCUGUUGGCACAAAGCGGGCUGUCAAUAAAUAGAUGUUGACAAAUGGA